rnacentral:lncRNA from 1 species
GGAGCAGUGAGCAUGUUUUCAAAAUAAUAAUCCAAUUAAUAUGCAUUAAGUAGAAAUUUCAGGGUUUUGCCUGGCAGUAGUGGCUGCUGCUGUCAUUUGGAAACAGUAUUUCAUUGCUUCAGGUGGCAGAUACCUAGUAGCUACUGCCUAGUUAGCCUGGGCUCUGUCAGGACUACUUGUGAAGUUGUCAGUGUAAUUUGAGGCUGGGUAUACCUUCUGUGGAGAUGCUGCUCUUUGUAACCCUGUGAUUCAGCAUAAACAAGUGCUUUGCAAGCUUGCCUUGGUUUACUUAGGCAUCCGUAUUGAUGGAUCUCUGUAACCCGUUCCCGUUUUUAGGGAAAGCUCUUCUUCUAUUGAAAAGAGAAAUUAAAUGAAUGUUUUUCUAAAAUUGCCUUGUGAACAAGUUACAGUUGCAAGAGCUGCUGCAGUGAGUGCAGCAAGAGCUAACCUGUUUUAUGUUUAGUUGCUGAUUUCACAUGGCUCCUCAAGGAGGGGGGAGGUAUGGUGUACAUUGUGUUUUAUAAUAGGAUGCCUUUAGUCAAGAAGUCACAGCUUUGUUCUACCAGUGGACACGUGGCAGUUGUGAGGAGAAAGGUAGCUUAAAGUCAUUUAAAUUUUCUACUAGGACUACUAUACUUCCGGAGAAACGUACUUGAGAGAAGAGGCUCAUCUGCAUCAAUGCCACGUGUGCUUUAUCAGGCUGAGCAGAGAUGUAAGAUCCUGCUUAGCUAGAAAAGAGUUGGACAAAAAAAUCUUAAAGGAGUAGCCUAAACAAAUUUGAAAGCGAAGAGCAUAUAUGCUAUGAGGUCUGCAUUACGGAUCACCAAGAUCAAGUAGCUUCAUGUGAGAUCUGAAGGCAUCUAUGAGCUCGUGACCUUUGCAACCGCUUCCCCAGACUCAGCGGUGCCUCGAGGUGGCAGGAAGCGUUGCAAGCAAUCAGUUCCACAAGGCUGCAGUGUUUGAUGUGAGACAGGAGAAAGUCAGAGGGCUGGUAAAGGUCCAAAGAUUUACUGCAAAGCAGGAAAAUCAUAUUCUUUACCUGACCUUCACCCUUCUGUUCCUGGGGUCUGCUGUUCUUGGAUUUUCCAGAGCCAGUGUCUCAUGGGAAUGCAUGAUGAUUUUCUCAGCUUGCACAGGACAUUUCUUGCUAUUUUGAAUCAUCAGACAGAAUAAGUAUUGGAGGCUUUAUUGAAAGACAGCUUAGGUGAAAUAGCAAAUAAUGGGGGAGAUGAACAAAAAAUCUCCGAAUACAAAACUGCUCUCUUAAGAAGUUCAGAGCAUUGGUCAAUGUGGAAAUGCUUAUCCUUUAGUGCAAUGUGAAAUAAAAGAGGAGAUGCUGAAAUGUUGCA